rnacentral:rRNA from 1 species
AUUGAACGCUGGCGGCAGGCCUAACACAUGCAAGUCGAACGAGUGGCGGACGGGUGAGUAAUGUCUGGGACACUGCCUGAUGGAGGGGGAUCACUACUGGAAACGGUAGCUAAUACCGCAUACCAUCGGAUGUGCCCAGAGGGGAUUAGCUAGUAGGAGGGGUAACGGCUCACCUAGGCGACGAUCCCGAGCUGGUCUGAGAGGAUGAACAGCCACACUGGAACUGAGACACGGUCCAGACUCCUACGGGAGGCAGCAGUGGGGAAUAUUGCACAAUGGGCGCAAGCCUGAUGCCGCCAUGCCGCGUGUAUGAAGAAGGCCUUCGGGUUGUAAAGUACUUUCAGCGGGGAGGCGUUACCCGCAGAAGAAGCACCGGCUAACUCCGUGCCAGCAGCCGCGGUAAUAC